UGGUGAUUUAUGGCCAAGAAUGUUUAUUUGUAGUUUGGAUUCUUUGUGGAUGUCAGUUGUUUGUUCAUAUAAUAAUCAUGGGCCCCAUUAUUAUAUGAGCCCACCUGAAGGUUGUCAACUGAUACUCACAGAAGAUACAUCAACUCUGCACUAAACAUUCUUUAUGUGAUGAUAUAACUUUGUUAUUGAAGUGGUCCCUUUCCCUUUGCUCGAAGUUGCGUAUAUAAAGGAAUGAAGUAGCUACAAAAGAAGAUAUAAAAAGUUUGGUUAUAGUCGACAUCAUCAAUAGAAAAGUGAAUGGCACAUUUAUGCCGUUAAUUGCAUAGAGGUACAGAUUAUUCAGAUUGUGGUGUAGACCUGCAAUAAAUACGACCUGCGAUUUCUUGUCACGUGUCCUAAACCUUUGAUCGCUGCGGUAAACGGUCCAAUAGCUUGAUUUGGUCUUUCCCUUCUCGCAUGCUGCGAUAUAGCCUUUGCUUCAGAAAAGUUGACAUGUUCGUGGUGUUUUUUUAAAUGCAAGUUUUCAAACGAAGUUUGUGGAGUGGGGUCAUCCUCUAGUUGGAUGUUGCUCUCUAAAUUUACCUCAUUUAUUUGGUCAUUCACAGGUACACGUGACUUGUUUAUAUUAAACGGAGGCCAGAGCACUAGGUCAUAUUUUGCCAUAUUAUGUAUUUAAGUUGUAUCCUCGCCCUAUUGAUCACUUUAUAUAAACAUUAAAUUGUUUUCUUUUCUU